GCCGAAAUAGCUCAGUUGGGAGAGCGUUAGACUGAAGAUCUAAAUGUCCUCGGUUCAAUCCCGGGUUUCGGCA